rnacentral:lncRNA from 10 species
AUCUCGUCCAGAAGUAAUAUACGUCAAGAAAGAAGAGAUUAUAAAUGUCUAGCAGGGACUGUUAGAAAUAUAUUUGGUGCCCUUGAUGAUUUCUCAAUCAAGACAGGGAACACUGAGGUACAACCACAUAGAGCAUCGGAGCUGCUACGGUAAAGGGGAAGGAGAGAUUCCUACUCUGGUUGAUGACACUGGAUCCUUGCAAGCUGGACAUCUCGGAACAACAGACACAGCUGUUCAACCUCAGAGCAAACACCAAAAUCCUAGUUUCGCCAUGAACACUGAAAUUAUGAACUACUUCAAAAUAAUAGCUUCCGUGGUGACCAGAGCAACAAAUUUUACUAGGUUUGCCUUGAAGAUUUGAAAUAUCCACAGCACCUACGUGAAUUUGCUGUGGUGCCCCAGGCUCUACCUCACUGCACAGUUUGGAAACCACAGCUUUCAGUUGUCUUCUUUUUUUAAAAUUAUUUUUAUUUUUUGAGAUGGAGUCUUGCUCUGUCAACCAGGCUGGAGUGCAGUGGCGCGAUCUCCACCUGCUGGGUUCAAGCAAUUCUUGUGCCUCAGCCUUCCAAGUAGCUGGGGUUACAGGAGCCCACCGCAACGCCUGGUUAAUUUUUGUAUUUUUAGUAGAGACUGGGUUUUGCCCUGUCGGCCAGGCUAGUCUCGAACUCCUGUCCUCAAGUGAUCCACCCACCUCAGCCUCCCAAAGUGCUGGGAUUACAAUGUGAGCUACCGUGCCCAGCCUCAGUUGUCUUCUGACUCUGAGAAGUUAAGAUUCAACUGAUUUUUAAACUUGAGGUUUGAAAUUCCUUACUAUCCACUUUUGGGACCCACUGCACUAUCAGAGAAAAGCAAGAGUAUCAGAAACACAGGUGACUGUGGAUGGAAGAGCAGUAAGCAGUUGAAGUACUUUGCUGUUUUUCCCGUAGGGGAGGACAAAUGGAUUCCUGAGGUGCAGGGCAAUCAACAGAUGAGAUCCAAGAGUCAGAACCCUGGAAUGGACCACCAGAACUUUCCCAUGGAGCCCCAGGACUUCUUCCCCCAAUUCCUGCUGUUUCUCCUCCUCCCUGUAGCAGGCUUCUUAAAGCAGGUAGUUUGACCUGCUGAGCAUCACAUUGCAUAAAACAAUGCCGGAAGACUUGAGCAAUGGUGACUUACCAAGACAGCUGGCUGCCUAUGUUUAUGGCAUUUGGAAUCCACCGGGAACACAUACAUUUGUCACAGUGUGUUCCCGAAAUAAAUGAGGCUGUCUCCCAACUGGCCCCAUAUAAUCAACGCAGCCCAGCCCCACAUAGCUACUCCAAUGAAUAAUGCUUUGUUUGCCAAAUGCAAUGGGAACCUACCACAGGCCAGGGUGCUUCCAACAACAACAACAACAAGAAACUAAAGACAGAUGAAAAAGCCUCACAGCUUGCGGUGUUGACAGUAUUCUAGAAGACCCUACACCCCUGUGGCUUCUCGAUGACUAAUGUGGAGCCAGCAUCUGUCAGCACAAACUCAGAGUGAUUACCCAGAAAUAGGUAUCCUUCUAAUUAAAAUAUCUGACCAUGUCCCCAUCAGCCACUUGCCUCAUUUGGGACACCACCAACCAUCCUGCACGGCUGCCCAUGUUUCUGUUUCUCCAGCCCAAGCAUGCAGUUUCAGUAGGUCCUUCAGAGGCUGCCUGAAAGCAUCCCGCCUCCAGAGCCCUGUGGGUUGAAGACCGCUGUGCUCUUUUCUUUCGGCUUCACACGCUGGUUAGUCUUCUGUUUGCUUUGUCAGCACGGUACUUUUCAUUUCCUUCGUGGUGUUUUUAGGAGCUCCUGAAUUUCACAGACAAAUCCAGACCCCUGUGUGGAAAGCCUGCGGUGGUGUUCUCCGUCUUCCCACAGGACUCCCUGCAGCCAGGAAUUCUAGGGGAGCACCUGACGCGAGGUAUACGCCCAGAUGGCCUGAAGUAACUGAAGAAUCACAAAAGAAGUGAAAAUGUCCUGCCCCGCCUUAACUGAUGACAUUCCACCACAAAGGAAGUGUCAAUGGCUGGUCCUUGCCUUAACUGAUGACAUUCCACCGCAAAAGAAGUGAAAAUGGCCGGUCCUUGCCUUAACUGAUGACAUUACACCACAAAAGAAGUGAAAAUGGCCGGUCCUUGCCUUAAGUGAUGGCAUUACCUUGUGAAAGUCCUUUUCCUGGCUCAUUCUGGCUCAAAAUCACCCCCACUGAGCACCUUGUGACCCCCACUCCUGCCCGCCAGGGAACAAUCCCCCUUUGACUGUAAUUUUCCUUUACCUACCCAAAUCUUAUAAAAUGGCCCCACCCCUAUCUCCCUUUGCUGACUCUCUUUUUGGACUCAGCCUGCCUGCAUCCAGGUGAUUAAAAGCUUUUAUUGCUCACACA